AACGAACGCUGGCGGCAGGCUUAACACAUGCAAGUCGAGCGCCCCGCAAGGGGAGCGGCAGACGGGUGAGUAAAGCGUGGGAAUCUACCCAUCUCUACGGAAUAACGCAUGGAAACGUGUGCUAAUACCGUAUACGUCCCUCGGGAGAAAGAUUUAUCGGAGAUGGAUGAGCCCGCGUUGGAUUAGCUAGUUGGUGGGGUAAAGGCCUACCAAGGCGACGAUCCAUAGCUGGUCUGAGAGGAUGAUCAGCCACACUGGGACUGGGACACGGCCCAGACUCCUACGGGAGGCAGCAGUGGGGAAUAUUGGACAAUGGGCGCAAGCCUGAUCCAGCCAUGCCGCGUGAGUGAUGAAGGCCCUAGGGUUGUAAAGCUCUUUCACCGGUGAAGAUAAUGACGGUAACCGGAGAAGAAGCCCCGGCUAACUUCGUGCCAGCAGCCGCCGUAAGAC
rnacentral:rRNA from 1 species